GAAACAUCUCAUCAUUAAACUGCUGAAAAUAACAUUACACCUCAGUAAAUUAGCAUUAGUACAAGAACAAAAAAAUAAAGAAUCUGAAUCCUAAUAAACCAACAUGAAUGAAAGUCACUUCUUGUUUAUAGCUGGAAAAGGUGAAGAGUUCAGUUUCAUACACCCAACAUAAAUAUCCAAUUGACAAAAUCAAACAUCAUCAAUCA
rnacentral:misc_RNA from 1 species